CCCCGGCGCCACAAGUGGUAAUCGCUUUUAUUGGGCCUAAAGCGUCCGUAGCUGAUAAGACUAGUCUUUUGUUAAAUCCUUGUGCUUAACAUGAGGACCGCAAGAGAUACUAUCUUGUUAGGGAUCGGGAGGAGACAGAGGUAUUCCUUGGGUAGCGGUAAAAUGCGAUAAUCCUUGGAAGACCACCAAUGGCGAAGGCAUCUGUCUAGAACGAAUCCGACAGUCAUGGACGAAAGCUAAGGGAGCAAAAGGG
rnacentral:rRNA from 1 species